rnacentral:rRNA from 1 species
GACGAACGCUGGCGGCGUGCCUAAUACAUGCAAGUCGAACGCUUCUUUCCUCCCGAGUGCUUGCACUCAAUUGGAAAGAGGAGUGGCGGACGGGUGAGUAACACGUGGGUAACCUACCCAUCAGAGGGGGAUAACACUUGGAAACAGGUGCUAAUACCGCAUAACAGUUUAUGCCGCAUGGCAUACGAGUGAAAGGCGCUUUCGGGUGUCGCUGAUGGAUGGACCCGCGGUGCAUUAGCUAGUUGGUGAGGUAACGGCUCACCAAGGCCACGAUGCAUAGCCGACCUGAGAGGGUGAUCGGCCACACUGGGACUGAGACACGGCCCAGACUCCUACGGGAGGCAGCAGUAGGGAAUCUUCGGCAAUGGACGAAAGUCUGACCGAGCAACGCCGCGUGAGUGAAGAAGGUUUUCGGAUCGUAAAACUCUGUUGUUAGAGAAGAACAAGGACGUUAGUAACUGAACGUCCCCUGACGGUAUCUAACCAGAAAGCCACGGCUAACUACGUG